CCCUCCCCCAGCCUCGCUGCCUCCUUGCAGUUUGAUCUCAGACUGCCCUGCUAGCAAUCAGCGAGACUCCGUGGGUGUAGGACCCUCCAAGCCAGGUGCCGGAGAUAAUCUCGUGGUGCGCCGUUUUUUAAGCCCGUUGGAGAAGCGCAGUAUUCGGGUGGGAGUGACCCGAUUUUCCAGGUGCUGUCUGUCACCCCUUUCUUUGACUUGGAAAGGGAACUCCCUGACCCCUUGCGCUUCCCAAGUGAGGCAAUGCCUCGCCCUGCUUCGGCUCGCGCACAGUGCGCGCACCCACUGACCUGAGCCCACUCUCUGGCACUCCCUAGUGAGAUGAACCUGGUACCUCAGAUGGAAAUGCAGAAAUCACCUGUCUUCUGCCUCGCUCACACUGGGAGCUGUAGACCGGAGCUGUUCCUGUUCGGCCAUCUUGGCUCCUCCCGGAAGGAGAACAGUAGCUUCCCUGGAAGAUGCCCUCCACUGGUGCCCAGUGCCUUUUGCAUGUAUAUCACCAGGCAAGACAAUAUAAACACCACAGUCUCCCACCUCAAAGAAGAAUGAAAAGAGGGAUUAUUUUAAUUCCUGCUGUCAUCCCUAAAAUUGGGGUCAUAUUUAUAGAGAAGAGAAAAAUCAAUAUAAGAAAACUAUGCUGUGGUUGGAUAUAACAAAGACUACCAGUCCAUGCCCAAGAGCUCCUGUUAGCCAGUCACAUUUUUUUUCCUGCAAGGAAGACUGGUUUAAGAGAGAUUCACCUCUCCCUUCCCACCCAGGACUGAACAGAGAGACAGGAAGGAAGGAAAAAGAGAUGUAACUAUGAAGAGGCAUAUGCUGUUGAGAGUCUCAAACUGUGACCUACCUUUGCCUCAUUCAGGCAAAUCUUUGAAACUUGGUUUCCUCAUGGUAAAUUGGAGAUAAUCCUGCCUACAUGAUUAAAUGAAUAACAUAUGAAAUAUGUGUUUCACAAGACCUCUAAAACAGGUUGAUUUUCUAUGUCUUAAAAGUAAGCCGAUAAGUAUAUGCAGUUGCUGGUAAGAGCAUUCUAGGCAGUGAGAAAUGGGUCAACAAAAUUAUAGAGGGAAAACAAGGUGUGCUCAGUGACCCCCAAAGUGGAACUAAAAUUUCGUGAAAGAAAAUAUUAAGAAAGAAGCAUAGAAUGGUAGGUAGAGCCAGGUCUCAGAAGGCUGUCGAUAUCAGGCUGUAGAGCUGAGCUUUAUGCUUGUUCUGUAAAGUAGGAUUAAGUAACAAAACCUCUGAUGUCACAGUAGGAAGUUUGCAGGGUCUCCACGAGUUCACUUUUUGCAAACACUCUUGUACAAAUUAGAAAAAAUUCACACCUUCCACACUUCUUCCAUUAGGCAGAA
rnacentral:lncRNA from 1 species